AUGGACAACUGCAAAUCAAUCAAAAUUGAUUUCAAAAGAAUCAAACUGCCAGUGGGUACUCAGCAAGAUGAAUUUCCUUUCUCCCUCCGCCUGGUACUGAAUGUUAUUAGAGGGUACAGAGCCAUUAUUCAUGAAAACAUCAAGGCCACAUCUCCAGAUGGCCCUAACACUGACUUAGCCCGGUCAGCGAUAAAGAACGCUGAUAGGACCCAAACACCACUGUAUGGAGCACGAUCCAGAGUCCCCAUCCUCAAGGAGCUAGAGCUUUGCUUUAGUAAAAUUAGACAAGUUGGUCAUUUCUGGGUGUCAUGGAAUGGAGUGGCCAACAGCCUGCAGAGCAACGUGCCCAAGUCUUAUUGUGACUACUGCAAUACAUACCUCACCCAUGACUCUCCAUCUGUGAGAAAGACACACUGCAGUGGUAGGAAACACAAAGAGAAUGUGAAAGACUACUAUCAGAAAUGGAUGGAAGAGCAGGCUCAGAGCCUGAUUGACAAAACAACGGCUGCAUUUCAACACGGAAAGAUACCUCCUGCUCCAUCCUCUGCUCCUCCUCCUGCAGGAGCGAUGAUACUACCUCCCCCUAGUUUUCCGGGUCCUCCUCACCCUGGUAUGAUGCCAGCACCCCAUAUGAGGGGUCCUCCCAUGAUGCCAAUGAUGGGCCCUCCUCCUCCUGGUAUGACACCAGUGGGCGCUGCUCCUGGAAUGAGGCCGCCUAUGGGAGGCCACAGGCCAAUGAUGCCUGGGCCCCCAAUGAUGAGACCUCCUGCCUGUCCCAUGAUGGUGCCCACUUGGCCCAGAAUGACUCGACCAGACAGAUAA